GACGAACGCUGGCGGCGUGCUUAACACAUGCAAGUCGAACGGUAAGGCCCUUCGGGGUACACGAGUGGCGAACGGGUGAGUAACACGUGGGUGAUCUGCCCUGCACUUCGGGAUAAGCCUGGGAAACUGGGUCUAAUACCGGAUAGGACCACUGCCUGCAUGGGUGGUGGUGGAAAGCUGUUGCGGUGUGGGAUGGGCCCGCGGCCUAUCAGCUUGGUGGUGGGGUGAUGGCCUACCAAGGCUACGACGGGUAGCCGGCUUGAGCGGGUGACCGGCCACACUGGGACUGAGAUACGGCCCAGACUCCUACGGGAGGCAGCAGUGGGGAAUAUUGCACAAUGGGCGCAAGCCUGAUGCAGCGACGCCGCGUGAGGGAUGACGGCCUUCGGGUUGUAAACCUCUUUCAGCACCGACGAAGCGCAAGUGACGGUAGGUGCAGAAGAAGGACCGGCCAACUACUUGCCAGCAGCCGCCGUAA
rnacentral:rRNA from 1 species